rnacentral:rRNA from 1 species
AACGAACGCUGGCGGCGCGCCUAAUACAUGCAAGUCGAGCGAGAAGACGUAGCAAUACGUUUGUAAAGCGGCGAACGGGUGAGGAAUACAUGGGUAACCUACCCUCGAGUGGGGAAUAACUAGCCGAAAGGUUAGCUAAUACCGCGUACGCUCCUUGGACUUCGGUUCAGGGAGGAAAGCGAUACCGUGGGUAUCGCGCUCUUGGAUGGGCUCAUGUCCUAUCAGCUUGUUGGUGAGGUAACGGCUCACCAAGGCUUCGACGGGUAGCUGGUCUGAGAGGACGAUCAGCCACACUGGCACUGCGACACGGGCCAGACUCCUACGGGAGGCAGCAGUAAGGAAUAUUGCGCAAUGGGCGAAAGCCUGACGCAGCGACGCCGCGUGGGGGGAUGGAAGGUCUUCGGAUUGUAAACCCCUUUCGGGAGGGAAGAUGGAACGAGCAAUCGUUCGGACGGUACCUCCAGAAGCAGCCACGGCUAACUUCGUGCCAGCAGCCGCGGU